GAACGCUGGCGGCUGCCUAAUACAUGCAAGUAGAACGCUGAAGAGAGGAGCUUGCUCUUCUUGGAUGAGUUGCGAACGGGUGAGUAACGCGUAGGUAACCUGCCUUGUAGCGGGGGAUAACUAUUGGAAACGAUAGCUAAUACCGCAUAACAAUGGGUGACACAUGUCAUUUAUUUGAAAGGGGCAAUUGCUCCACUACAAGAUGGACCUGCGUUGUAUUAGCUAGUAGGUGAGGUAACGGCUCACCUAGGCGACGAUACAUAGCCGACCUGAGAGGGUGAUCGGCCACACUGGGACUGAGACACGGCCCAGACUCCUACGGGAGGCAGCAGUAGGGAAUCUUCGGCAAUGGGGGCAACCCUGACCGAGCAACGCCGCGUGAGUGAAGAAGGUUUUCGGAUCGUAAAGCUCUGUUGUAAGUCAAGAACGAGUGUGAGAGUGGAAAGUUCACACUGUGACGGUAGCUUACCAGAAAGGGACGGCUAACUACGUGCCAGCAGCCGCGGUAAUACGUAGGUCCCGAGCGUUGUCCGGAUUUAUUGGGUGUAAAGCGAGCGCAGGCGGUUUGAUAAGUCUGAAGUUAAAGGCUGUGGCUCAACCAUAGUUCGCUUCGGAAACUGUCAAACUUGAGUGCAGAAGGGGAGAGUGGAAUUCCAUGUGUAGCGGUGAAAUGCGUAGAUAUAUGGAGGAACACCGGUGGCGAAAGCGGCUCUCUGGUCUGUAACUGACGCUGAGGCUCGAAAGCGUGGGGAGCGAACAGGAUUAGAUACCCUGGUAGUCCACGCCGUAAACGAUGAGUGCUAGGUGUUGGAUCCUUUCNCGGGAUUCAGUGCCGCAGCUAACGCAUUAAGCACUCCGCCUG
rnacentral:rRNA from 1 species